GAGGAAAGUCCGGGCUCCCCAAUGGCCAGGCUUGCUGGGUAAUGCCCAGUGCGGGUGACCGCGAGGAGAGUGCCACAGAAACACACCGCCGAUGGCCGGGGCCCUGCCCUGUGCACAGGCAAGGGUGCAAAGGUGCGGUAAGAGCGCACCAGCAGCAUCGAGAGGUGCUGGCUCGGUAAACCCCGGCCGGGAGCAAGGCCCAGGGACCAACGGUUGGCCAUGAACACCGGUCCCGCCCCAAGUGCGCCGCUCGAGGCCGCCGGUGACGGCGGUCCCAGACAGAUGAUCACCCCGGGAGGGGUUCGCCCCAUCCGGAACAGAACCCGGCUUA
rnacentral:RNase_P_RNA from 1 species